rnacentral:misc_RNA from 1 species
ACUAUACCUUAUAUUGAAUUACCUAUCUCAAUAAAUUGAGUUUUAGUUUAAACAAUGGUAAACCUGAAAUCACUAGUCACGAUACCUGUGGCAGCUAACACAUGAGACCACAAUUGUUUAACCAAAGAAACUAACAGGAAUACAGAAACCCAGGAGACAUUUUUAGAAUAUUUCACCUAAUAUAAAUAUUUAAUAAGCUCCUCUAAUUAAUAUAUAAGGUUAUGAACAUAAAA